GACGUAGGGCGCGAGCGUUUGUCCGGAUUUAUUGGGCGUAAAGAGCUCGUAGGCGGCUUGUCGCGUCGAAUGUGAAAUCUCAGGGCUCAACUCUGACAUUGCAUUCGAUACGGGCAGGCUAGAGUUCGGUAGGGGAGACUGGAAUUCCUGGUGUAGCGGUGAAAUGCGCAGAUAUCAGGAGGAACACCGGUGCGAAGGCGGGUCUCUGGGGCCGAUACUGACGUGAGGAGCGAAAAGC
rnacentral:rRNA from 1 species